rnacentral:rRNA from 1 species
GACGAACGCUGGCGGCGCGCUUAACACAUGCAAGUCGAGCGAAGCGGCGGAAGGGUGAGUAACACGUGAGUAAACUGCCUUAGACAUUGGGAUAGCAUCGGGAAACCGGGAUUAAUACCAAAUGGUCUAAGAUGGACUCGCGUCCCAUUAGCUAGUUGGUGAGGUAACGGCCAAACAAGGCGACGAUGGGUAGCCGGCCUGAGAGGGUGAACGGCCACAUUGGAACUGAGAAACGGUCCAAACUCUACGGGAUGCAGCAGUGGGGAAUAUUGCACAAUGGAGGGAACUCUGAUGCAGCGACGCCGCGUGAACGAAGAAGGCUUUCGAGUCGUAAAGUUCUUUUAUAUGGGAAGCGGUACCAGAAGAAAAAGCCCCGGCUAACUACGUGCCAGCCUCCGCGGUAAUUC